rnacentral:misc_RNA from 1 species
UGUUAUUAAAGAGACUCAACACGUUUAUGAUAUCGCGGCUGAAGAUUCACCGCGAUGUGUCUCUUUUCAUUUGGCACAUCAAUGAAGUCAGGCAAUUAAAUAAUUAUUGUUCGACAUGAAAUAAAAGAUGGAAGAAUUAUUGUUUCGAACGGUUACGAAUAACAUCGCGAUAGUAUUAUUAGGAGAUGAUAAAACAAAACUUCAUCUAUGAUACUAUGGCAAUUAAGGGCUGAGAUAAUGCAUAUUAUCAAUGUGAAGGAAAAGUCAGUCGAAAUCCGUACCACGGCGAAUGUGUUAAAGGUGUACGCACGGGCCAGAUUAAAUUGUUUUUCUCUAUAUGACGACAAUGAAAACCCGAAAAU